UAUACGGAGAGUUUGAUCCUGGCUCAGGAUGAACGCUGGCGGCGUGCUUAACACAUGCAAGUCGAACGAUGGUAGCAAUACUAUAGUGGCGAACGGGUGA
rnacentral:rRNA from 1 species